UCAGGUAACACGAAAUCGUACCCCAAACCGACACAGGUGGUCAGGUAGAGAAUACCAAGGCGCUUGAGAGAACUCGGGUGAAGGAACUAGGCAAAAUGGUGCCGUAACUUCGGGAGAAGGCACGCUGAUAUGUAGGUGAAGUGGUUUACCCAUGGAGCUGAAAUCAGUCGAAGAUACCAGCUGGCUGCAACUGUUUAUUAAAAACACAGCACUGUGCAAACACGAAAGUGGACGUAUACGGUGUGACGCCUGCCCGGUGCCGGAAGGUUAAUUGAUGGGGUUAUCCGUAAGGAGAAGCUCUUGAUCGAAGCCCCGGUAAACGGCGGCCGUAACUAUAACGGUCCUAAGGUAGCGAAAUUCCUUGUCGGGUAAGUUCCGACCUGCACGAAUGGCGUAAUGAUGGCCAGGCUGUCUCCACCCGAGACUCAGUGAAAUUGAACUCGCUGUGAAGAUGCAGUGUACCCGCGGCAAGACGGAAAGACCCCGUGAACCUUUACUAUAGCUUGACACUGAACACUGGUCCUUGAUGUGUAGGAUAGGUGGGAGGCUUUGAAGUGUGGACGCCAGUCUGCAUGGAGCCAUCCUUGAAAUACCACCCUUUAAUGGCUGGUGUUCUAACGUAGACCCGUAAUCCGGGUUGCGGACAGUGUCUGGUGGGUAGUUUGACUGGGGCGGUCUCCUCCUAAAGAGUAACGGAGGAGCACGAAGGUUAGCUAAUCCUGGUCGGACAUCAGGAGGUUAGUGCAAAGGCAUAAGCUAGCUUGACUGCGAGAGUGACGGCUCGAGCAGGUGCGAAAGCAGGUCUUAGUGAUCCGGUGGUUCUGAAUGGAAGGGCCAUCGCUCAACGGAUAAAAGGUACUCCGGGGAUAACAGGCUGAUACCGCCCAAGAGUUCAUAUCGACGGCGGUGUUUGGCACCUCGAUGUCGGCUCAUCACAUCCUGGGGCUGAAGUAGGUCCCAAGGGUAUGGCUGUUCGCCAUUUAAAGUGGUACGCGAGCUGGGUUUAGAACGUCGUGAGACAGUUCGGUCCCUAUCUGCCGUGGGCGCUGGAGAAUUGAGGGGGGCUGCUCCUAGUACGAGAGGACCGGAGUGGACGCAUCACUGGUGUUCGGGUUGUCAUGCCAAUGGCAUUGCCCGGUAGCUAAAUGCGGAAGAGAUAAGUGCUGAAAGCAUCUAAGCACGAAACUUGCCCCGAGAUGAGUUCUCCCUGACCCUUUAAGGGUCCUGAAGGAACGUUAAAGACGAUGACGUUGAUAGGUCGGGUGUGUAAGUGUAGCGAUACAUUGAGCUAACCGAUACUAAUGAACCGUGAGGCUUAACCUU
rnacentral:rRNA from 1 species